rnacentral:rRNA from 1 species
GAUGAACGCUGGCGGCGUGCCUAAUACAUGCAAGUCGAGCGAACAGACGAGGAGCUUGCUCCUCUGACGUUAGCGGCGGACGGGUGAGUAACACGUGGAUAACCUACCUAUAAGACUGGGAUAACUUCGGGAAACCGGAGCUAAUACCGGAUAACAUGUUGAACCGCAUGGUUCAACAGUGAAAGACGGUCUUGCUGUCACUUAUAGAUGGAUCCGCGCCGCAUCAGCUAGUUGGGAAGGUAACGGCUUACCAAGGCAGCGAUGCGUAGCCGACCUGAGAGGGUGAUCGGCCACACUGGAACUGAGACACGGUCCAGACUCCUACGGGAGGCAGCAGUAGGGAAUCUUCCGCAAUGGGCGAAAGCCUGACGGAGCAACGCCGCGUGAGUGAAGAAGGUCUUCGGAUCGUAAAACUCUGUUAUUAGGGAAGAACAAAUGUGUAAGUAACUAUGCACGUCUUGACGGUACCUAAUCAGAAAGCCACGGCUAACUACGUG